rnacentral:SRP_RNA from 14 species
GGCGCAGGCGGAGGAGGCGCCGAAGAAGGCCGAGACGCCCGCGCUCCUCUCCAGGUCGAGGUACUGCCGGAUCGUCAGGCUGGUGUCCCAGAGCAGCUCCUGCUUC